rnacentral:rRNA from 1 species
GAUGAACGCUGGCGGCGUGCUUAACACAUGCAAGUCGAACGGAAAGGCCCUGCUUUUGUGGGGUUCUCGAGUGGCGAAGGGGGGAGUAACACGUGAGUAUCCUGCCCUUGACUUUGGGAUAACUUCAGGAAACUGGGGCUAAUACCGGAUAGGAGCUCCUGCUGCAUGGUGGGGGUUGGAAAGUUUCGGCGGUUGGGGAUGGACUCGCGGCUUAUCAGCUUGUUGGUGGGGUAGUGGCUUACCAAGGCUUUGACGGGUAGCCGGCCUGAGAGGGUGACCGGCCACAUUGGGACUGAGAUACGGCCCAGACUCCUACGGGAGGCAGCAGUGGGGAAUAUUGCACAAUGGGCGGAAGCCUGAUGCAGAAACGCCGCGUGCGGGAUGACGGCCUUCGGGUUGUAAACCGCUUUCGCCUGAGACGAAGCGUGAGUGACGGUAAUGGGUAAAGAAGCACCGGCUAACUACGUG